rnacentral:lncRNA from 10 species
AUGUUUUCUUUUAGUAUUUUUUUCUCAGAAUUUCUUUUCACCGUUAUUUAUUUCAUCCUUAUCCUCAGUUUGCCAUCCAAGGAAUGGCCACAGCCUGUCAAUUCUGUUUCUUGAAUGCCUCCUGACGUCCUUCCCUGUCCACCCCAGCUUCUGGUGCCUGCACACACACACACUCACACACACUUCUGUCCUCCAUACACUCACACUCAUACACGUGUAUUCUUACACACCACCCACAGGCACCCUCAGGUCCUUACACUCACACUCUCUACCCCUCAUGUUUUCUGUCCCCCCCCCACACACACACACCUACACUCACCUACACACACAUUUUCUCCCCUCACACUCACACUCUCCACCCCCAUGCCCUCCUCGGCUGGAGCUCCCUCCUUCUCUUCUCAGCCUUUGAACUGGCCUCCUGCCUGGGGCUCCCUCCUUCCCUUCUCAGCCACUGAACUGGCCUGCUGCCUGGGGCUCCCUCCUUCCCUUCUCAGCCUCUGAACUGGCCUCCUGCCUGGGGCUCCCUCCUUCUCUUCUCAGCCUCUGAACUGGCCUCCUGCCUGGGGCUCCCUCCUUCUCUUCUCAGCCUCUGAACUGGCCUCCUGCCUGGGGCUCCCACCCUCCUUCCCUCCUCAGCCUUUGAACUGGCCUCCUGCCUGGGGCUCCCUCCUUCCCUUCUCAGCCUCUGAACUGGCCUCCUGCCUGGUGCUCCCUCAUUCCCUUCUCAGCCUCUGAACUGGCCUCCUGCCUGGGGCUCCCACCCUCCUUCCCUCCUCAGCCUUUGAACUGGCCUCCUGCCUGGGGCUCCCUCCUUCUCUUCUCAGCCUCUGAACUGGCCUCCUGCCUGGUGCUCCCUCCUUCCCUUCUCAGCCUCUGAACUGGCCUCCUGCCUGGGGCUCCCUCCUUCUCUUCUCAGCCUCUGAACUGGCCUCCUGCCUGGUGCUCCCUCCUUCCCUUCUCAGCCUUUGAACUGGCCUCCUGCCUGGGGCUCCCUCCUUCCCUUCUCAGCCUCUGAACUGGCCUCCUGCCUGGGGCUCCCUCCUUCUCUUCUCAGCCUCUGAACUGGCCUCCUGCCUGGUGCUCCCUCCUUCUCUUCUCAGCCUCUGAACUGGCCUCCUGCCUGGUGCUCCCUCCUUCUCUUCUCAGCCUCUGAACUGGCCUCCUGCCUGGUGCUCCCUCCUUCUCUUCUCAGCCUCUGAACUGGCCUCCUGCCUGGAGCUCCCCCCUUCCCUUCUCAGCCUCUGAACUGGCCUCCUGCCUGGGGCUCCCUCCUUCCCUUCUCAGCCUCUGAACUGGCCUCCUGCCUGGGGCUCCCUCCUUCCCUUCUCAGCCUUUGAACUGGCCUCCUGCCUGGGGCUCCCUCCCUCCUUCCCUUCUCAGCCUCUGAACUGGCCUCCUGCCUGGGGUUCCCUUCUUCUCUUCUCAGCCUUUGAACUGGCCUCCUGCCUGGGGCUCCCUUCUUCUCUUCUCAGCCUCUGAACUGGCCUCCUGCCCCUGCUUUGCUGACUUGCUCGACCUUUCCUGGGUCAGGGUCCUCAGAGCUCUGCGUCUCCCACUCCUGGUCCCAGCUCACGGACACUGUUUAGGGCCCAGGAAUCCUGUACUUCCAGUCAUCCAUUCUCAUUGUGUAAGGCGUCACACUCAGCUUCAAACGCUGCACGUGGAAGGUUGUGUUGGGUCAGGGGAGUGUGGAUGUCAGGAGAGGAGUCCAGUGCUACCUGGCCAGAGGGAAGUGGGUUAGGAACAGAUUCUAGGAGUUCGAGGCUUUAGCUAAGCCAGGAAGGUGAGAGGGACGGCACCCCUGCAGUGCUGUGCUGGGUCCUGGGCAUCAGGUCCCAAUGUUAAAGGCAAUUAGAAAACUAAGACAAGCACACACCUUUAUAAUUGAGACCUGUUUAGAAAUUAGUACAACUGUAAUGAAGGGAAAGAUUGGGGUGCUGUCAAUUCGACUUCCAUUAAACGUUGAUUUGAAUUCUCUGUGAUAUCAUUAUAUCAAUUUUACAGACAGAAACAGACUCACAGAGAAGUGCCCUGCUCCGAGCCCUACAGCAGGGGCCACAGCAGUGCUCAGAGCCAACCCGGCACCCUCUCCCCAGCCGGAGCCCCCACGACACAAGCACUUUUCCUCGCUGCCGUUUCAGACUGGUGUAACCUUCAUUUGAUUCAUCUUAAAUCUACAACCGUUUUUAAAAUUUCAUCUUAUCUCAUUUAUCCAUGAUUAAUUAUUUAAAAACAUAUUUAAAGACAUAGGUAAGGUGCCAGAAAGAAAGAAUAAGGCAGCUUUGUCGUUUAAAAAACUUGUCUUACAAUUUCUCUGCUUUGUAAGGGUUAUCGUGAUGGUGAAUUUUAUGUGUCAACUUGGCUAGGCCGUGGUACCUCAGUAUUCCCUCAAACUUCGUUCUAGAUGUUGCUCUGAAGGCAUUUUUUGGAUGGGAUUGGCGUUUAAACCAAUAGACUUUGAGCAACGUCGAUCACGCCUCAGAAUGUGGUGGGCCUCAUCCAAUCAGUUGAAGGACUUAAAAAGAGCAAAGACUGAGGUCCUCCAGGAAGAGGGUGCUCUGCCAGCAAACAGCCUGCAGACUCGAGCUGCAAUGCCAGUGCUUCCUCGGGUGUCCAGCCUGCCCACCAGCACUGCAGGUUUCAGAACUGCCCGUCCCCACAAUCGUGCACAGCUGUCACUCAUCAGACUCUUUUG